rnacentral:rRNA from 1 species
UACGAAGGGGGCUAGCGUUGCUCGGAAUCACUGGGCGUAAAGCGCACGUAGGCGGCUUGUUAAGUCAGGGGUGAAAUCCUGGAGCUCAACUCCAGAACUGCCUUUGAUACUGGCGAUCUUGAGCCCGGGAGAGGUGAGUGGAACUGCGAGUGUAGAGGUGAAAUUCGUAGAUAUUCGGAAGAACACCAGUGGCGAAGGCGGCUCACUGGCCCGGUACUGACGCUGAGGUGCGAAAGCGUGGGGAGCAAACAGG